rnacentral:rRNA from 1 species
UACGUAGGAUGCGAGCGUUGUCCGGAAUUAUUGGGCGUAAAGAGCUCGUAGGCGGUUUGUCGCGUCGGCCGUGAAAACUCACAGCUUAACUGUGGGCGUGCGGGCGAUACGGGCAGACUGGAGUACUGCAGGGGAGACUGGAAUUCCUGGUGUAGCGGUGGAAUGCGCAGAUAUCAGGAGGAACACCGGUGGCGAAGGCGGGUCUCUGGGCAGUAACUGACGCUGAGGAGCGAAAGCGUGGGGAGCGAACAGG